rnacentral:rRNA from 1 species
GAUGAACGCUGGCGGCGUGCUUAACACAUGCAAGUCGAACGAUGAAGCCCAGCUUGCUGGGUGGAUUAGUGGCGAACGGGUGAGUAACACGUGAGUAACCUGCACUUAACUCUGGGAUAAGCCAGGGAAACUGGGACUAAUACCGGAUAGGAGCGACCACCGCAUGGUGGGUGGUGGAAAGAUUUAUCGGUUUUGGAUGGACGCGCGGCGUAUCAGCUUGUUGGUGAGGUAAUGGCUGACGAAGGCGAUGACGGGGAGCCGGCCGGAGAGGGUGACCGGCCAGACUGGGACUGAUACACGGCCCAGACGCCUGCGGGAGGCAGCAGUGGGGAAUAUUGCGCUAUGGGCGCAAGCCGGAUGCAGCGACGCCGUGUGGGGGAUGACGGCCUUCGGGUUGUAAACCUCUUUCAGUAGGGAAGAAGCUAAAGUGACGGUACCUGCAGAAGAAGCACCGGCUAACUACGUG